UACGUAGGGUGCGAGCGUUAAUCGGAAUUACUGGGCGUAAAGCGUGCGCAGGCGGUUUUGUAAGCCAGAUGUGAAAUCCCCGGGCUCAACCUGGGAACUGCAUUUGGGACUGCAAGGCUUGAGUACGGCAGAGGGGGGUAGAAUUCCUGGUGUAGCAGUGAAAUGCGUAGAUAUCAGGAGGAAUACCGAUGGCGAAGGCAGCCCCCUGGGUCGAUACUGACGCUCAUGCACGAAAGCGUGGGGAGCAAACAGG
rnacentral:rRNA from 1 species